rnacentral:ribozyme from 1 species
AAAAAGGAAAAAAUGAGUUUUUGAAUUUUUUUUUUUUUUUUUUUUUUUUCUA